rnacentral:lncRNA from 1 species
CCUAAUUACAGUGUAUUUGUUUUAUCCGAGAUUACAAAUAAAUCCAUUGAUUUUUUGGGAUCACUAACCACAACCUGUACAUUGAUUUUUUUUUGGACUUACAAUCAACCUAGUUGGUUUUAUGGGUUCAUCAAUUAUAAUCUUAUAUCGAUUGUUUUCUGAACUCACAAUCAAUCCAAUUGAUUUUAUGGGAUAACCAAACCAACUUAACAAGUCCAAUUCUAGGCUUGG